rnacentral:lncRNA from 1 species
CAACAAUCCCUAUUCAUAGGGUUUUCUUAUACCUCAGAUAAAAUAUUCUGUCUUCUUCCAAAAUUUGCAAACCCUAUUUAUCAAUCCAUGGCUAGAGGGAAGCAAGUAUCUUAUGGUGAUCAUAAAACCGCUAGGAAAAUUUAUCAUGAAGCUCAAUCUGAGAGUACCGCAUACUUCUCUGCUUCUGAGAGUGAAGAUGUCUCCGAUUCGUCAGAAGUAGAGGUCGCCCAUGUUCAGAAACACAAUGGAAAAGGCUUGGUUGCAGGUAAGUCUUUUGAAUCAAAUAAGAAGAUAAUAUAUUCAGUUGCUGCUCAUAGUCUUAUGUUAGAUAGGGGAUUUUCAGACCAAGGUACAUAAAAUGGGAUGUCUUUAAAGACUUGCCAUUUGAAAUUGAGGAAUUAUAUAUCGCUCAGAAGUGGAAAAUGUUUUCUGAUAUAUAUAGGUGAUAUUAUCUUGAUUUAGUUGUUGAAUUUUAUAGAAAUAUACGAGUGGUUGACGAGCAAGAGUCCUUUAUCACAACCAUUCAAGGAAAAAUGGUCACAAUUACUAUUGAUGAUUUAGCCCAAGCUUUUGGAUUACCAAAUGAGGGAAAAUCGAGUUGGCAGUAGGAAUGAAGUGAAAAAAAGGCUUUUGGAUUACCAAAUGAGGGAAAUCGAGUUGGAAGUAGGAAUGAAGUGAAAAAAAAUGUCUGCUUUAUAAUGAAAAGGCUUUUAAAAAGUCCAUAUUCCCUGAAGGCACAUCUAAAAAUGAAAUUGGAAGUAGUUUACUGCCCCAACAAUACAAGAUUCUACAGAAAAUUGUUAUAUAUUUCUUGUAUCCAAGGACUGGCAGUAAGGGAUACAUGAAUGAGAUAGAUUUAUGCAUCAUGGGGCACAUGGUCAACAAAGUCCCAUACAAUUUGUCAUACUUGAUGUUCAAGAUUAUUGUUAAGGAUUCCAAGUGCCGAGAAUUGUCUUAUUCUAUGCAGUUAACUUUAUUUUCUCAGAAAUUAAAAAUUAAAUUGGUGAAAGAAAUAGGGUAUUGUAAUGGAAUUCCAAUUAAGGAGAUUUUUAGUUCAACUGCCAUGAUAAAGAGGAGAUGCAAUGUUAUGAUAGACAAAAAAGUAGAUGGAAUUGAAAUAGAUGGUGAAGGUAAAUCUGAAGCUGAUGGUGAUAAUGAAAAUAGAAAAAGAACAAAGAGAGAUGGUGAAAUUGGUGUAAGUUCAGACAAUGUGAUUAUUGCUUUAGCUAAGGAAAAUUUGGAGAAGAUGAAGGAGAUCAAAGAGGCUGCAUCUUUCUUGAAAAAUUCUCAAGAUUUGCAGCAAACUAUUAUAAACAGCCAAAGUGCAAAUAUUGCUAUGUUAGUGAAUUGAAUGGAUAGAAUGGUAUGGUUUAUGAAGAAGAUUUUUCUUAAGUUAUUUAGAGAUACAUUUGUAAUAUUUGGUGAUUUUGGAGAUUACCAAUGUGGAACUAUUCCUGCAGCUGGAGGUAGUGGUUACAGUACUUUUACUGUACCAGUUGAUAAGAAAAAAUAAUGAAGAAGAAGAACAUGCACAAACUAGAAAAGAAGUUUCUUCAGAAAUUUCUUCAUCACAUUCAAGCAAUAGCAGUAGCGAGAAAAAUUCUUCAUAAAAUUCAAGCAGUGGCAAUAGUAAGAAAUCUAAUGGCAGUAGCAAGAAAUUCAGUGGCAGUAGCAAGAAAUCCAGUGGUAGCAGUGACAAAGCGAGUGAUGGUAGUGACAAAAGUCAACAUCAGCAAGAACGAGGUCAUAUUGAGUGCAACUCUAGUUCACCUAAUGAGCAGUCACAUGAUCAGUCCCUGAAAAAGUUAAAAUUGCUCAGCUAAUUACAUUCUACAUUCUGAUUCACUAACUUGUGCUUUACAUUAUGGACAGAAAAGAACCAAAUCUCAAGCCAGGAAAUCUGGUUUUAAUGGCUUACCAAUAUUUCAUUUCACUGUACCUGAAAAUGCCAUAACAACAAAGAAAAAGUUAAUAUCAAAAGUUGAUCUCACUAAGGUAAGAAGUGGAAAAGUUCCUGUGGCCACUAAAGUUACAAAAUCAGGAGAAGUUGGCUGCAAAGACAAACCAGAAGAUAUCUAGGGUUUUUUGGUUUACAUCUAGACAAAUGGUUUUUUUAGACCUUUGAAAAUUUUAUUAAAAGUUAUUUAAGUUUUGAUCAAAUAAAAUAAUUCAUUUGGCCCUUUAAAUUUUUAAAAAUGGCACAAAAAAGUCUAAAAUCUAACGCCGUUAAAUCUUCAUCAACAAAAGGACAAUAAAAUCAUUAAUAAAUAUCAUGAUAGUCAUUUAAGUUUUUGAAUAAAUAAUCUUAAUAUUAUAUUUUAAUAAUUUAGUUUAUAAAUAAUUUAUAUUAAUUUAUAUUGUUAUAAAUGAAUAGAAUAAUCUUAUAAAAUUGAUAAAUAAAUAAAUAAAGUAUUAUUUAAAAGUUUUAGAAAAAUUAACAUUUAAAUUUAAUAAUAGUAAAUUAAAAGAUUUUUUAUAUCAAUUAAAACCAUAAAUGAUUUUAUAUUUUUUCUUUUAUUUUCUUAUUAAAUAAAGAUCAAAUUUUAAUAUUAGAAAUUUUUUUAAAAAAUUUAUAAUAUGAUAUAUGUAACAAAAAUAAUAAAAUAUAUUAAAAGUUUAAAUGUAAUUUUCUUAUAUAGAUAUAAAUUUUAAAUAAUAUUAUAAAUUAAUUGAGGAAUUAUCUUAUAAUUUUUUAUUAAUUUUAAAUGAUUUUUAGCAAUCCUUAUAUUUUUAUAAUUUCUAUAAUUAAGUUUAAUUAAGAAAAUAUUAAUUAGUUUUUUAUAAAUUAAAGUUUCAAUAUAUUUUUAUAAUUUGCAUUAUUUAUCUUAUAUAUGUAAUAUUAUCUAUAAUUAUAAUAAUAUUUAUAUAUUUUAAUAACAAUUAUAAAUUUUUAAAUGAGAUAUUAAUAUUAAAAUUGAUAUUUAAUUAAAGAAAAAAUAAAAGGUAAUUUGAAUUUUUUUUAAAAGUGAACUAUUUUUUUAUACUUUAUAAUAAUUUUAAAUUUAAAUAUUUAUAAAUUUCUAUGAUAUUUUAUUUAUUUAAUAAAAUUAUUAUUUUUAUUCAUUAACAAUAUAAAUAUAAAUAAGUAUAUUUAUAAACUAGAUAUUAAAAUUUAAAAAUUAAAUUUAUUUAUCCAAUAAAGAGCUAUUAAGCUAUCUUUUUAAGAGUUUAAAUGUUUAAUUUUUUAAUUCAUAAAUGGAGAGUUAAUAAUGUUAUUAUUUUUGGGGCUAAAUGGCUAUUUUAAAAAAAUUUAUGGAUUUAAAUAGCUAUUAUAUUUUAGUUUAAAGCAUCAAAUGGACAAUUUUAUUUAAUCAGGACUUAAAUGAUUUUUGAUAAAAUUUUCAAGGGUCUAAAAAGGUCAUUUGCCUUUACAUCUAUUUUGUUAGAUAAUCUUGAAAUUUUAUGUUUAUUGUGUUUUAUUUUCAGUGUUUAUUAGAUUUUAGUAUGUAACUAUUUGUUAGAUUCUAAAUUUCAAUAUUUACUAUGUUUUAAUUAGAUGGAAUUGUUUUAAUUGAUAAUAUGUAUAGCUUAUUUUAGUUAUAUAUUGAGUGAAAUCAUCCUCUCUCGCGAUUAGAGAAAGUUAGAGAAAUUUUACUGAGAUUGCUCUCUUUCUCUUCUCAACUAUCUGAUUUCUAAAUAUCCAAUUUUGGUAUCUAGAUAUCUAUUCCUAAUACUGAUUUUUAUUGAAAAUGGUUUUGUGCAACUUUAAAAAUUAGGUAUCUAUUUGUAUGUAUUAACUAUCUACUAUGUAUAGUUGAUUAACAGAAGGUCUAAUCAUGUUUCCAAAAUUUUCUUUUGUUUCAAUGUCAAUAAACAAGCCACCAAUAAUAAAUGAGAAAUUUACUGUGUUUGUCAAGAAUAUUUUGGAAAGAGCUUUCUUGCAUUGAAAAUGAGUAACAUAUAAAUUUCCAAGUUUCUUCCAAUAGCUGUCAAACAUAAAUUCACUUAAGUAUACCAAGAGUCACUGAGCUUUUAAUGGUUCCAAAACAUUUACUUUCUAUAAAAAAAUUACGUUAGUUUGUUCUUUAUAUAUGUCUCAGUUAUAGCCAUUUCAUGCAAACCUUUUUUAAUACAACUCACUUUCUCUCAAGUAUUAUGGAUAAAACAUCAUAAGCAAAGAGAUUUAUUAUGGUGCAAUCUUUGUCUGCUACUUUAAAAACUCUUAAAACCUUAUACCGCUAUGUCAGAGAAGAACUCAUAGAUUGAAAGGCUGAAGUGAAGGAAUUACUGGUUAGAAUCAUUCGAGAUAAUGGUAUUGAAUACAUUCGAGUAAUUUUAGUGGAAGAAUUUCCUUUGCUGAAGACCUACCAUGUUUUAGUUGAAUCUGAUGGUCUACGUUCAAAUGAGAAAGUGGUGGUGAAUAUUUUCGAUUCUAUUGAUGAAGAUAACACUGAUGGUGAUGGAACUGUUGGAGAUAAAAAUGUAAGUUUAAGAGAAAAGGUUUAAAUGUCAUGCUGAAUCAAAACCUAUCUUUAUCUAUUUUAUUAUAGCAUUCUUUUGAGUAUUAACUAUCAAAACCUAUCUUUAUCUAUUUUAUUAUAACAUUCUUUUGAGUAUUAACUUCUAAUAUAAUUUUAUUGCUUCUUCUUCUUAUGUCUUAUGAUCAUAAAUUACAUUAUUCAGGUAAAUAAUUGAAAAUUUUACAUUAUCCUCAUUAAGCAUUAACAAAUUAACAAGCUAUUUGUUUCAAUUAAAACUACUGUAUGUAACCACAUUACUGCAAAUAAUAGGUUAAAACUAAUGUAGAAAACUAUAUUAUUGUUAUUUAGUUGAAUAUGAAUGUAUCUAUCAUUUAUUAUAUAUCUAAUUUAAAAAUAGAAAGUUAUUUUUUUUUUCUAAAUUUAGGAUUUCAUAAUUUGACGAUUGAGAAUAAGUACCAAGUCACUUUCAUUUAAUAAUAUUAUUAUUAAAAUUCCAAAAUAAAAAUAACAACAAAGAUAAGAAAAGUAGCAAAAAAAAUUUUCAUCUGUAAGCGUAGCAAUAUAAGGUAACUCAAACAGAAUAAGCUCUAAUUAAACCAAUUGUAGAUCUUCAAUGAUUCUGCAAUUUUCUUACCUUCAAACUACUAUGUGAGCAUCAAGACUUCGUCAAAUGAGUAUGAUUAAACAACAUCUCAAAAAUAAAUUCAGCAAUAAAAUUGUUGAUUUCAUCAGAACUUAAAAUACCAUUUCUAGAGAUAUCAUAUUCAUGUGUGCAUUCAAUCUCUAUAUUGUUCAUAUUACUUUAUAGAGAUACUUCACAUGACACAUACUCUACCUCUUUAUUUCUAGAGUUUUAUUCAUUAUAUGUAAAUACAACAUCCUCCAUUGUCCCAUAAGACUUAUACAAGCUUUUACUGACACCAAUACCAUAUAAUGUGUAUUCUUCCUAUGAUUCAUAUAUCUCAGGUUUGAUUCCUCUAAAGACUAACAUAAACCUUUGAAAUUUGACUCUUCAUCUUCCAUGUUCUAUGAUUUGUUAUCAUCCUUCCUCAUAAGAAUUGAACUAAAAAUCUCAGGAUGUGAAAAUGAACAAUGAUGGAACAAUGGUAGAAUCUAUCCGAGUAGAUGCAUUUUCAUUGAGAUCUUUGAUUUCAAGCAAUGGUGCAUGCAACUUAAACUUUUGUUGAGCCCUAUGAAUAACAUUAAAGAUUUGUUACUUACCGGUGCACAUUUAAUGAGAAUAAAAUUCAAAUUUUCAACUAGAGAGAGAAUGAAAAUGAGAGUUGGAAACUAGAAGGGUAAAAGCAUCAUCUGACAAGUACCAUUUGAAUUCGAUCCCGAUAUAAUUAUUGGGAGCAACGUGUCUGCUGAUCGACCUGUUGGCCAGACGUCCUGAUGAUUCCACGCCUUGAUGAUUGAUCGACCAACUUGUCAACCAGACGUCCUGAUGAUCCGACUUGUCGACCAAACGUCCUGAUAAUCUGACCUGUCAAUCAGAUGUCCUGAUGAUCUAACCUGUUAACCAAACGUCCUAGUUUGUGUGUGACCUAUCGACCUAUAUUACCGACUUGAUGACCUAUUGAUCAACCUGUUGUGGUUUAAGGCUUGAUUUGUGUGUGAAUAUCUUUUUUUCCUUCUUUGUCUUGUGCAGUAUAGGAAGUUUAGUUUAUACAAUAUAGAAAGUUUGGCUUGUAUUGUAUAUGAAGUUUUGUAUUCUUAGGAUUUUUCUAAACAGGAGUGAACCUAAUAGUAUAUAUAUUAUUUUCACAUUCCUGGCAAUGAAAGGGUAAGAUUUUCAUUCCUAAAUUAUGUGAUUCUCUUUAUUUACAUGGUAUCAAAGUCAUAGAGGUUGAAAAGAAACAAGGGGAGACUUCAGGAAUAAUAAAAAAUUCUUCCUAUCCUCGUACACUAAAUUCAAAUGACAAUCCGGGCAAUUUGAUUACCCAGUGCAGUUAAAAGGAGAGAACUACGAAGAAUGGGCAAAGGCCAUGCGGACUGUGUUGAGAGCCAAAAAGAAAUAUGGCUUUAUCAAUAGAUCCAUCUGUAAUACCCGGCUAGACUCCGACAUUGAAAUUCCUACCGUCCGGUGGGAUUUGGAUAUCGGAAACCUCUAAAAGGGUAAAAGCAUGUUUUUAUGAAAUGUUUUCACGUUUUUAAUGGUUUUAAGUAUGAAAUUUAAUGAGUUUUUGCAUGAAAAGUCUUUGGAGGAAAACCCAGGUUCGGCCGCCGAAAGUCAAGUUCGGCCGCCGAACAUGCAUGCGUUUUGGAGGCACGUUAGGCCCCCGAAAGCAUGAGCGAGGGAAGUCCAGGUUCAGCCGCCGAAAGUCAAGUUCGGCCGCCGAACAUGGCAUGCAUGCGGAGGCACUUUCGGCCCCGGAACGUGGCCUGGCCAGCCACCUAUAAAAAGGGGCACUUAGCCGAAAUGGGCGAGCUUUCUCCCAUUUUCGGCCACAGCUAGCUUCCGACCUCCCUCUCCCCAAAUCUUGUGUUCUUUCUUCAGAUCUCCUCCAUUUUUCUUGAGUUUUAACCUCACAUUGCAAGUUUUGAGCUUUUAAGACAAGUUUUGGAGCUUUGGGAACUCAGGAGCUCAUUUGCUUGGGUCUCCGAGUUUAGGUCGUCUCUCUCUCGAUCUUCAAGAGGUAAGAGCCGAUCUUAAGCUCAUAGUAUGUUUUAAAUAAGUUUUAUGAAGUUUUAUGGGGUAGAAAUGCAUGUUUGAGUUAGUUGAGCUAUGUUAGGUUUUAUGUGAUUUUUGAACAAUGUGGCAUGUUUGAGUAUGUUUGAAGUGUUGUAGAUGGGGUAUAUGUUUGUUUGAGGCCCCUAGGAGCUUGUAUGCAUGUUUUGGUUGAGUGGUAUGCAUGAUUUGAGCUUGGGAGGCGACAUGUGCAUAGGAGAGCUGAGUUUCUGCCAUUCGGGAGAAACUCAGGUUCGGCCGCCGAAGGGACUUUCGGCCGCCGAACCCCCUUGUGGAGGCAGCAUUCGGCUGCCGAAGCUUUCCCCCGAAAGAGGACUUUCGGAUCUGUCCGGGACUUUCGGCCGCCGAAGGUGCCGCCGAAAGUGCCUGACUUUCGGCUCUGGAGGGACUUUCGGCCGCCGAAUCUGCCGCCGAAAGUGCCCUGUUCAGCCAUUUCAUGCAUGUUCUUCUAGGAUUAUUUCAUGAUGUUUUAGGGGGUUUUUGGGUAGUUGUUUAUGAGUUGUUUAGAGUAUGUUUGGCACCUCACUGGUGUCCACCUGUGUAGGACCGGACCCGAGGAACCGAGGUGUUUAGCAGUGUUAGCUGCUUCAGAGUUAGUCCAGAGCUAGCCAAAGGUGAGUGGAACUAACCCUCAUGUUUUAAAUCAAAUGUUUUCAGCAUGUUCAAGCAUGUUCAUACAUCAUGAAUACCAUGUUAUGCAAUAGGUUGUUUGCAUUAGAAUUCACGAAUAUGAUGCAUUGCAUAAUACGAUGAUGAUGAUGUGGAUGGAUACUGGAUGAUCCUCUAGCCCUCAGUAUGUUAUGACAUGAUAUGAAUUGAUAUGAUAUGGCAUGUACGAUAUGAUAUGAGAUGAGAAGCCCAGGCGUGGCCGUAUCGCCCCUGGCAUAAAGUAUGAGAAGUCCAGGUGUGGCCGUAUCGCCCCUGGCAUAAAGUAUGUGAAGUCCAGGCGUGGCCGUAUCGCCCCUGGCAUAAAGCAUUGUUGACUUGUUAUGGUACGAGAUUGAUAUGUAGAGGGCUAUUGGUGACAGAUUCAUCCUUGAGGUGAUAUAUUUGUGAUGUGACGCAUUCCAUGAUAGCAUACGUUAAAAUGAACUGUUUUCUUUUAUGGUUUCUGCUCACUGGGCUUUUUAGCUCACCCCUCUCCCCUAACCCCAGGUUUGCAGGGUCAGAGAUAGUCAGGAGAGCAGCAGGUUACGUCCAUGGUCAUGUUUAUGUAAUAGAAUAGUAGUGGACAUGAUGUAAUGUAAGGUUAUGUAUUGAUGAAAAAAGAGAUGUAUUGCAUAAUGAUAUAUGUUCAGAGUUAUAGUAUUGUGCUUGGCCCGAGUUGGAUAAUCCCUUUGUACAUGAGUUUACAAUUUUAUGUUUUAAAGUUUAUGCUUAUGUUUGAUCAUGUUUGGGAUUAUACCAGCUGUACAGGAUGUAUGUUAGGCUUGCUACGGGUCCCGGCGACCUUAAGUCGAUCUGGAUCCUAGCGCCGGUAGCGGUCCGGAUUUUCGGGUCGUUACACCAUCAAACAACCAGCGGACGAUGCACUGGAACUCAAAGAUUGGUGGACAGUUAACUCUAUGUUGGUUUUUUAGGUAUUUAAUACUUAAACCAACACUUUGAUCAACUAUCUCUCACGCUGAAAGAGUAAAGAAUCUAUGGAAAGAUACUAAGCAGAGAUUCUCGAUUGAAAAUGGACCACGAAUGCAGCAGUUAAGAUCUGACUUAGCAAAAUGUAGGCAGGAUGGUCAAUCCAUUGUACUCUAUUUCGGUAAACUCAAAAUUUUGUGGGAUGAGAUUAAUAAUUAUGAUCAAAUACUAGUGUGUGCAGGUGCAGGCUACAAAUGUAAUCUUACCAUUGAAAUGAAGCGAAAGCGUGAAGAAGAAAGAGUUCAUCAGUUUCUAAUUGGCUUGGAUGAAGAAGGUUAUGGUACCAUGCAGUCCCAUAUCUUGAGCACUGACCCAUUACUAAUUUGAACCGUGCUUAUGCUAUGGUGGUUCACCAAGAGCGAGUGAGAACUGUGACGAGAAGCAAAGAUAAAUGAGGUAACCCUAUGAGCUUCACAAGUCAGGCCAGUGGUCGGAAUUCAAGGGGGAUAAACAUAAAACUUGCUCUCAUUGAAAUUGAGAGGGUCAUGAAACUGAAAGUUGCUUUCAGUUAAUAGGCUAUCCAGAAUGGUGGGAUAAUCAGCCUUAUAAAAAUAUUUUUUUUCUUUACUUCAAUAAAAAUAAAAUAAACUGGAGGAGGACAUAACAAAGGAGGUGCUACCCGUGCUCACGCAGUGCAAGCAAUUGCAGUUGAUACUGGACGAGAAGUAAUGACAGAUGCAGAUCGAAAAGGGCUGAACGGACUCAAUGACGAGCAAUAGGCUACUCUGCUAGGCUGUUAAACUCUCACCAGAAUACUAAUGAGAGGUUAAUAGGUAACCAAAGAAAUUUUUCUUGGAUUAUUGACACAAGAGCUUCCCAUCAUACAAUAGGAACUAAAGCUUUUUUAAGUGACUUACAUGACAUUGCACCAUGCUCCGUCGGAUUGCCUAAUGGGGAGAAAAACAUGAUAAUCAAAGAAGGAACCAUGUUUCUUGGCGAGAAUCUAAAAUUACAAUGAGUUCUUUUUGUUCCUAAUUUGAAAUGCAAUUUGAUUUUUGUCUCUCAGUUUCUUAAUGAUUCAAAUUUGGUUAUUCAACUCAUUAACAAAAUAUGUUCUAUACAGGACCUAAAUUUGAAGAUUCUGAUUGGAGUGGGUGAACAAUGAGAGGGGCUUUAUUUUCUCAAGGGAGUCACUUCAGUUCAUGCUUGCAAAUUGAAUAGUUGAGGAACUUUUGAGCUUUGGCAUAAAAGAAUGGGUCAUCCGUCAUUUAAGGUGAUAGACUUGAUGCCAGGAAUUGAUAAAUUGGAUAGACAAAUUAAUAAAACUUAUGAAGUAUGUUUUAGAGCAAAAUAAACGAGAGAGGUUUUCUUUUCUAAUAAUAAUAAAGCAACAAAAUGUUUUGAUUUGAUACACUAUGACUUGUGGGGACCUUAUACAGUUUUCGCCUCUUAUGGAGCCCUUUAUUUAUUGACCAUAGUUGAUGAUUGUUCCAUGCUGUAUGAAUUUAUUUGCUUAAUAGAAAAAGUGAUGCGGCUUGUGUUCUUAAGAAGUUUGUAGCCAUGAUCAAGUGUCAAUUUGAGAAAAAUGUGAAAGUUGUUUGGAGUGAUAAUGGAAGUGAAUUUAUAUGUUUAAAGCAAUACUUUGAAGAUAUUGGAAUAUUGCAUUAGACCUCUUGUGUAGGAAUGCCCCAACAAAAUGGCCAAGUGGAGAGAAAGCAUCGACAUAUUCUCAAUGCGGUAAGGGCCUUGUGUUUCCAAGUAAACUUGCCCAUAGAAUUUUGGGCGAAUAUGUACUAACAACCUGAUAUUUAAUUAACGGAACUCCAUCGGAGUUGUUGCAUGGCAAAAACUCCAUAUGAGACUCUCUUCAAGCAAGCUCUUACAAUCACCUUUGAGUUUUUGGUUGCUUGUGUUAUGCCCAUAACUUGCAACGGGAUAAAGAUAAAUUUUCCAAUAGAAGUCGACAAUGUAUUUUUGUUGGGUAUUAUUUUAGAUAAAAAGGUUGGAAGUUGUAUGAUUUGGACAUUCAAGAGUACUUUGUAUCAAGAGAUGUUGUGUUUGCUGAAACAAAAUUUCCAUUUGUCAAGACCAUUGAUAAUGAGGCCAUUGAUGCAAGAGUUGUGGACCUGGGGCUUGCAGUUGAUGACUCACACAGUGACGUAGGAGAGGAGUCUCCCGGCAACCUCAACAGUUCAUAUAUUGACCAUCAUCAGGAAGACGACCUUCCCAUAUACAAUAAAGAGGUCAAAAAGAGUGAUGUAGCUCCCGAACAAUUAGGAAGGGGACAACAAACCAAGCAAGUUUCAAUUCAUCUCAAAGACUAUGUGACUCAUGCGAUCAGCGUAAGCCCGUCGACGUUGUAACAAUCAGCUGCCUGCUUGGAAUUCAAUCCCACAUCGGCGGAAUACGGCAAUUCCGAAUUGUAUAUAAUAGCUAACACGAAACUACUAAAUAACUUGGAUUAACCAUUUUGGGCUAAGUGGAAAGUGGAUCCAAAAGUUAUUUGGGUCAGUUCCGGCCGGGCUGACUUAGACGUGCUCAUCAUCUCCAUCUGGUUCUUCUUCAGGUGCUCCUUAUCCUAUAGUACAUUAUAUGAGUUAUGAUAAAUUCUCUCCACAAUAUAGGUGUUUCUUGGGAGCGAUUACUGCAGGACAUGAACCCACCUCUUAUGUUGAAGCUUUUCAAGAUGCACAGUGGAAAGGCCAUGCGCACAGAAAUUUAGGCUUUGGAGGAAAAUGAUGCAUGGACAAUUGAAGCUUUACCUCCUAGAAAGCGAGCAAUUGGUAGCAAGUGGGUUUACAAAAUCAAGUAUAAUUCUGAUGGGAGUAUUGAACAAUAUAAGGCACGACUGUUAUCUUACGUAAUAAACAAGUUGAAGGGCUCGAUUAUCAGUACACCUUUGCACCCAUAGCAAAAAUGGAUACUAUGCGUACUCUUCUUGCCGUUGCAAUUGCCAAGAAUUGGGAAUUACAUCAAAUGGGGUUCCAUAAUUCAUUUUUACAUGGUGAUUUGCAUGAAGAAGUCUACAUGAAGAUGCCACCCGGCUUUGGAUCUUCCACUUCUGGCCAAGUCCGUCACCUCCGCAAGUCUCUCUACGGUUUGCACCAAGCGCCUCAAUGUUGGUUUGUGAAGUUGGCUGCCUUUUACGAGUAUAUGGAUUUCAGCAAUCAUAUUCAUAUUACUCCUUGUUCAUUCUUCACAUUGGCUCUAUUCAUUUCAUUGUCCUGGUUUAUGUUGAUGACUUAGUUAUCACAGGAAAUAAUCUUUUCGCUGUCCAGAAAUUCAAGGAGUACUUAAGCCGCUUGUUUCCACAUGAAAGACUGAAAUUCUUCUUGGGGCUCGAGGUAGCUCGAACCACAAAAGGUCUUUUCUAUAUCAGUGUAAGUAUGCCUUAGAUGCGAUUUCUGACAUUGAAUUGCUAGGUUCCAAACCGGAUGCCACUCCUCUUAAACAAAAUCAUAAGCUGACUCUUGCGCUGGGUGUUGAAUUCACUACUCCUACUUCCUAUAAGCAUUUGGUGGGUUGCCUUAUUUAUUUAACCAUUACUCGGAUUGAAUUAUCCUACUGUCUGCAUAUCCUUGAGCAGUUCAUGCAAUGACCACUACAGGUUCAUUGGGAGGUAGCUUUCCAAGUAAUUCAUUAUCUCAAAGGAUAUCCUGGCCAUGGUGUCUUGAUGCAUGCCAAUUGUAACCUUGCCUUGAUCACUUACUGUGAUUCUGACUAGACUAGUUGCCCCUUGACGUGCAGGUCCCUCACUGGCUAUUUUGUUCUGUUGGGUGGCUCUCCCAUUUCUUAGAAGAUUAAGAAGCAACCGAUCGUAUCUCGUUCUUCCACUAAAGCCAAAUAUAGGUCCAUGACCACUGCCUCUUGUGAACAUAAAUGGUUAAAAGGCUUAUUGAUUUCUCUUGGUGUGUCUCAUUCUAUGCUUAUGCAAUUGUAUUGUAAUAGUCAAGCUGCUUUGCACAUUGCGGCCAAUCCUAUUUAUCACGAACGUAUCAAACAUGUAAUACCUGGCUAGACUCCGGUAUCGAAAUUCCUACCGUCCGGUGGAAUCUCGGAUGUCGAAGACCUCUAGAAGGGUAAGACCAUGUUUUCAUAAAAUGUUUUAAUGUGUUUUAUGAUUUUAAGUAAAAAGGAAAUGAAUUUUUGCAUGAAAACAACCUUGGAGGAAAACCCAAGUUCGGCCGCCGAACAUGGCAUGCAUGUGGAGGCACGUUCGGCCCCCGAACGUGGCCUAGCCAGCCACUAUAAAAGGGUCCCUUAGCCGAAAAUGGGUGAGCUUUUCUCCCCAUUGUCGGCCAAGGUGAGCUCUCCGCCGUCCCUCACCAAUCUUUGAGUUCUUCCUUCAAAUCUUUCACGAUUUUCACAAGUUUUCAUCUUGUUUUGAAGAUUUUCAAGUUUUGAGCAAGUUUUGAGUUUGGAGACCCAAGGAAGUUGUAAAUCUCCCAUCUCCGAGUUUAGGUCGUCUCUCUCUCGAUCUUCACGAGGUAAGAGCCGAUCUUUAGCUCAAUGCAUGUUUUAAGUAAGUUUUAUGAAGAUUUAUGGGGUAGAAUGCAUGUUUAGCUUAUAGUUAGGUUUUUGAGUUAUUGUUGUGUUUUGAGUAAUGUGACUUGCCAAUGUAUGUUUGAUGUGUUGUAGAUGGGGUUUUAGAUAGUUUGAAGCCCCUAGGAGCUUGUAUGCUUGUGUAUGUGUGUUGUAGAAUAGAUUUAUGCAUGUUUGGAUGGAAUGGGAGGCGUAUAUGCAUAGAAGAGCUGAGUUUCUGCCACUAAGGGAGAAACCAAGUUCGGCAGCCAAAGGAACUUUCGGCCGCCGAACAUGCUUGUGGAAGCAGCCUUCGGCUGUCGAAGCUUGCCCCCGAAAGGAGACUUUCGUCUCUGUCUGGGAGUUUCGGCCGCCGAAAGUGCCGCCGAACAUGCAUGAGUUUCGCCUCUGUCUGGGAGUUUCGGCCGCCGAAGGUGCCGCCGAACCUGCCUGACUUUAGGCUCUGGAGGGACUUUCGGCCGCCGAACCUGCCGCCGAAAGUGCCCUGUCCAGCCCUCUUUUGCAUAUUUUUCUAUGAUUGUUUCAUGAUGUUCUAGGGGGUUUUGGGGGGAUGUUUUUAGAGAUAUGUUCUAGUUGUUUGGUCCCUCAUUUGAGUCCACCUGUGUAGGUUCGGACCCGAGGAACCGAGGACCUCAGCAGUGAGUCAGCUGCUCCAGUGUCUGGUCAGAGCUACCCAGAGGUGAGUGGAAUAAACCUUAUGCUUUUAAAUAAAUAAAUCAGUUUUAGCAUGAUUCACGCAUCAUGAAUGCCAUGAGAUAUAAUAGGGUGUUUGCAUUAGACUCACGAAUAUGUUGCAUUACAUAAUAUGUUGAUGAUGUGGAUGAAUGUUGAAUGAUCCUUUAGUCCCCAUAUGUUAUCAUGAUGAUGAUACGGUACGGAAGACCAGUGAGGCCCAUUCUACACCCCUGGCACAGUUGGACCAUGUAGGGGACUUUGGGUGACAAAUUCAUCCUUGAUGUGAUUAGCUGUGAUGUGAUGCAUUUCAUGUUAUCAUAUGUUUUAAAUGUUUUAUUAUUCUGCUCACUGGGCUUUAUAGCUCACCCCUCUCCCUUAACCCCCAGGCUUGCAGGUACAGGGUAGACCAGGAGGUCAGAAAGAGUAGUGAAGUCUUAUGUAUGUAAUAGAUAGAAUGUGGACAUGACGAAUUGUAGAAUGACAAAUUGUAAAGUGAUGAAUAGUUAUGUUAUGUAAUGAUGAUAUUGAGG